AGCGAACGCUGGCGGCAGGCCUAACACAUGCAAGUCGAACGAACUCUUCGGAGUUAGUGGCGGACGGGUGAGUAACACGUGGGAACGUGCCUUUAGGUUUGGAAUAACUCAGGGAAACUUGUGCUAAUACCGAAUGUGCCCUUCGGGGGAAAGAUUUAUCGCCUUUAGAGCGGCCCGCGUCUGAUUAGCUAGUUGGUGAGGUAAAGGCUCACCAAGGCGACGAUCAGUAGCUGGUCUGAGAGGAUGAUCAGCCACAUUGGGACUGAGACACGGCCCAAACUCCUACGGGAGGCAGCAGUGGGGAAUCUUGCGCAAUGGGCGAAAGCCUGACGCAGCCAUGCCGCGUGAAUGAUGAAGGUCUUAGGAUUGUAAAAUUCUUUCACCGGGGACGAUAAUGACGGCACCCGGAGAAGAAGCCCCGGCUAACUUCGUGCCAGCCGCCGCAGUAA
rnacentral:rRNA from 1 species